UACGGGGGGGGCAAGCGUUGUUCGGAAUUACUGGGCGUAAAGGGUUCGUAGGUGGCCAACUAAGUCAGACGUGAAAUCCCUCAGCUUAACUGGGGAACUGCGUCUGAGACUGGAUGGCUUGAGUGCAGGAGAGGAACGCGGAAUUCCAGGUGUAGCGGUGAAAUGCGUAGAUAUCUGGAGGAACACCGGUGGCGAAGGCGGCGUUCUGGACUGCUACUGACACUGAGGCGCGAAAGCGUGGGGAGCAAACAGG
rnacentral:rRNA from 1 species